rnacentral:tRNA from 1 species
GGGCGCGUAGCUCAGCGGCAGAGCACCUCGGUGACAUCGAGGGGGUCAUAGGUUCAAAUCCUAUCGCGCUCACCA